rnacentral:rRNA from 1 species
CUUGGUCAUUUAGAGGAGUAAAAGUCGUAACAAGGUUUCCGUAGGUGAACCUGCGGAAGGAUCAUUAUGAAUUAAAGUCGGUCUUCUGUGCUGGUGGUGACACAUGUGCACGUUGUCGCAAAUCCACACACCUGUGCACCUUUGACUUUAGGAUCCGCUUGUUGCUUGUCUGACUUGCAGCUGAUGUUGGUUUUGUGCUCAUCUGGAUCUUAGGUAAUUUUACACACUCUGAAUGUAAUGGAAUGUUCCUGUGCAUAAUGCGAAAAUACAACUUUCAACAACGGAUCUCUUGGCUCUCGCAUCGAUGAAGACGCAGCGAAAUGUGAUAAGUAAUGUGAAUUGCAGAAUUCAGUGAAUCAUGAAUCUUUGAACGCACCUUGCACCCUUUGGUAUUCCAAAGGGUACACCCUUUGAGUGUCAUUGUAAUCUCACUUCAUCAGCUUUUGUUGAUGGAGGUGACUUGGACUCUGUUGUGUCAUUACAACUGGUCUGAAAUGUGUGAGUGCACCUGCUGUUGCAGCGUCCUCAGUGUGAUAAGCAUCUUCACUGAAUCAAGUCCUUUGGGACACGUGUGUAAUGUGGGCUCUGUGCUGGCAAACUGUCUUGGACAAUCUUGACAAUUUGACCUCAGAUCGAGUGGGACUACCCGCUGAAUUAAGCAUAUCAAUAAGCGGAGGAA